rnacentral:rRNA from 1 species
UGCGUAGGCGGCAUGGCAAGUUUGAUGUGAAAGCUCCGAGCUCAACUCGGAAAUUGCAUUGAAAACUGCCAAGCUCGAGGAUCGGAGGGGAGAGUGGAAUUCUUGGUGUAGCAGUGAAAUGCGUAGAUAUCAAGAGGAACACCAGUGGCGAAGGCGACUCUCUGGACGAUUCCUGACGCUGAGGCACGAAGGCUAGGGGAGCAAACA